rnacentral:ncRNA from 1 species
GUCGAAAUUCUACUUUUAAAAGAUUAAUGAAUGACGGCGUACCUUUUGCAUAAUGGGUCAGCAAGUUAAUAAGAGUAGCAAGGUUUAAAGCCCUAGCGAAAGCGACUGGACUAUUUAUUAAAUAGUGAUGGAUAAGUUACUUUUAUUAGACCCGAAGCCAGGUGAUCUUACCAAGACCAGUUUAUAAUUGAGCGUACGGGUGAAUGUUGCAUUAUUCUCCGAAGAGUUUUGGUAAGCGGCGAAAUACCAAUCUGACCUGGUGCUAUCUGGUUUUCUACCGAAACAUAUUUAAGUAUGACAUCUACAUUUAUAGAUUUAUGGAGGUACAGAAAGGCAACUCCCAACAAGAAAUAGUUUUAUGUUGUGCCCUAUUUCUUAAAAAAUAGACAGCAUCCUUAGUCGAGCAUCGAGCAUCCUUAUCUCCAACCUUUCGUCACUUCACCUUUCGUAUAUAAGUACGUAGUACAGAGUACGGAGCCCUUAAAAGGGAGUGGUGGUUGUUGUAUGUAGAGGGAGGAGGAAAUGGAAGCAAACAUGCGUAGCCGUAGGCAGGCGGGAAAAUUUUUAAUUUAAUUUUAAUCGAUUAAAUAAGUUUUUACAUAAUACUAUUUGGAGUUCAGGUUGCGGGGACGUAGAAAUCUUACCUUUGGAGGCGAAUCUCGGAAUUACAUAAAUUGAUAGUAGAUAUUCAGACUAUUCAUGCUAAGUUGAAUAGUCAAGACGGAAACAGCCGAGAACACAGAUCAAGGUCCCAAAUGAUUGUUAAGUGAAAUUAAGGAUGUAGCAUAAUCGUAUACAGCUGUUAAGUGAGCCUGGCAGUCGCUACUUAUAAUGAUCGUAUGUAACAACGCAUCAGCAGUAAGACUGUAGCACCGAAAAUUUAACGGGUCUUAAACAAUCAACCGAUAUCGUGUUGGUAUUAAAUAAAAUAUUGUACUCUCCCGAUACCUGCCAUACGACAAUGACACCGUGUUAUUCUAUUCUAUUGAUUAGGUUAACUCUAUGUAGUUGAGUAUGGAUUACGGAGUACGGAUUCUUGAGUACAGCACCAUUCUACGGUUAUGUUACCCCUUCGGAGCGUAGACGUAGCCAUGAUGCUUAUUUUUAUUUUAUUUUUUAUCUAGGUAGUAGAACAUUCAGUCAAUCUAUUGAGAAAAUAGUGUUUCAUUAUUUUUUAGGGAACUGAAGAGAGAAUGCUGAC